rnacentral:rRNA from 1 species
GAUGAACGCUGGCGGCGUGCCUAAUACAUGCAAGUCGAGCGAACAGACGAGGAGCUUGCUCCUUUGACGUUAGCGGCGGACGGGUGAGUAACACGUAGGUACCUACCUAUAAGACUGGGAUAACUUCGGGAAACCGGAGCUAAUACCGGAUAAUAUUUCGAACCGCAUGGUUCGAUAGUGAAAGAUGGCUUUGCUAUCACUUAUAGAUGGACCUGCGCCGUAUUAGCUAGUUGGUAAGGUAACGGCUUACCAAGGCAACGAUACGUAGCCGACCUGAGAGGGUGAUCGGCCACACUGGAACUGAGACACGGUCCAGACUCCUACGGGAGGCAGCAGUAGGGAAUCUUCCGCAAUGGGCGAAAGCCUGACGGAGCAACGCCGCGUGAGUGAUGAAGGUCUUCGGAUCGUAAAACUCUGUUAUUAGGGAAGAACAAACGUGUAAGUAACUGUGCACGUCUUGACGGUACCUAAUCAGAAAGCCACGGCUAACUACGUG